rnacentral:rRNA from 1 species
UACGUAGGGUCCGAGCGUUGUCCGGAAUUACUGGGCGUAAAGAGCUCGUAGGUGGUUUGUCGCGUUGUUCGUGAAAACUCACAGCUUAACUGUGGGCGUGCGGGCGAUACGGGCAGACUUGAGUACUGCAGGGGAGACUGGAAUUCCUGGUGUAGCGGUGAAAUGCGCAGAUAUCAGGAGGAACACCGGUGGCGAAGGCGGGUCUCUGGGCAGUAACUGACGCUGAGGAGCGAAAGCGUGGGUAGCAAACAGG